UGCAACCCAAGCAGCAACCUCUGGUUAUAGCAAGACAUUCGAUCAGGUUAAGGUUUGUGCAGCUUUGUGUGUUCUUUUGCAGGGACGUUCAAAAAUGCUUAACUCUCUUCAACAUGUUGUUGCCAUAACAAUGUACAACAACCAAUUACAGAAAGAUGGCUUUUCGGUGCUUGCAAAACUGGGUUUUUCUGUAACCCAUACAACCUUGAAUGAAAAGUUGAACACAGCGAAAAAACUAAAUGAGCAAGUAAUGAAAACCUAUCAGAGGAGGUUAGCAGACACUAUUGCUGCUAAAAGUAUUGUGGAUAGGGUGAGCACUGAACACUCUUAUGCAGGAGGAUUAGAUCAACCCUCAGUCAUAGAUGAACAUUCCUAUUCAACCAUCUACCAUUCAGAAUUUCAACAACAUGGUGAACCCCUAGGCUACAGAUUUAACCUCGACAACCUGGACUUUCAUAUAAAAGUCAGGGAAAUGACACAGGAACAUCAAAAUGUGUCAAGGCAUUUUACUCCAAUCAUGUCUGUUGUAGAUAGAGUGAGCUGUGAGGGUUUCACAGAUGAGCCUGUCGGAAAUUUGAUGGAGGUUGAAAACAGCGAAUCUCUUCCUACUGCUGAGGACAAUUACACUCUUAGAAAAGACAUGAUACAGGUUGUAUCCAACAUUCUGAUCGAACAUCUGUCAUCCUUCAAAAUCUUUGAAAAUAUUUGUCCUAAACAAUUCCAACAUGCUUAUUCAGCAGAAAUGUCGAAGAAAUCUAUUGUGAAUCAGCAGUGUUUUGUUGGGAUACUUCUUGCAUUCAAUUAGAAACAUACAGUGAUACCACUUGGAAUUCUGCUAAAGAAUGAAAACAAAACCAAUGAUAUGAUAGAGAUCAUUGAGCACUUACAACAGUAUGUCCCUGGAGCCAGAACUGAAUUGGAAGAGAUUCAAGAAAGAGAAGAAACAAAUCCUAAGAUGCAAGCAAUUCCAGUUGGAGGUGACCAAUUGACGUGUGAGCGAAUUAGAGGUGCACAUAUGGCUCGUCUUGAUGGAGAUACACAAGAGGAAAGAUUGGAGGGUUUGAUAACUAUGGUGGAAGAUUUUCAUGAGAAAAUAAAUUUCCUGCAGGUAGUUAUAAUUAAUGUCCAACUUAUAACAUGUUUUGGACCUUGCCUCUACUAGUAUCUAGAUGUGUUCCAUCUUUAAUGCUACUAUUAACUUCAUAUAUGUUCACAGAAGAGGUUGUUAGAUAAGAUUGUUGGGGAAAUAGUGGACACAUUCUUCUUGAACAGCUUGACAGUAACAGUCAAUAGGAUUGAAGAUGAUGAAACUGCCAUUGAAGGGCCAAUAGUUGAUGAUGGAGUGUACUAUUAUGCCACCAAUGUCACAAAAUAUGGGCUUCUCAGGAAAAUCUCUGUUCUAGCUACUAGAAAUGGGGAUGGUAUUCGACAGAUAAGACACUGGAAGUAUGGUCUAUUAGUAUAUGACCUUUCACACAAGAUUAAGUACAGACUUGAAUCUUUCUUGCUUUUAGCAGGUGUGAAUGCACUUUUCACAGAGAAGCAAAGACAUCAGAUAAUUUGGAAUCCAUGAUGAUCUUCUUACAUUUUGUUGAGGUUGAAUGGUGAUACAUGGCAAAUAACCGGUUUUUUGCACAUAUAGUUCCACAAUAUGCAAGGUCUCCCAUAAUAUCUGUAAACAGUUUAAAUAAAAGUGAACAUGAUUUUA